rnacentral:rRNA from 1 species
GACGAACGCUGGCGGCGUGCCUAAUACAUGCAAGUUGAGCGCUGAAGGUUGGUACUUGUACCAACUGGAUGAGCAGCGAACGGGUGAGUAACGCGUGGGGAAUCUGCCUUUGAGCGGGGGACAACAUUUGGAAACGAAUGCUAAUACCGCAUAAAAACUUUAAACACAAGUUUUAAGUUUGAAAGAUGCAAUUGCAUCACUCAAAGAUGAUCCCGCGUUGUAUUAGCUAGUUGGUGAGGUAAAGGCUCACGAAGGCGAUGAUACAUAGCCGACCUGAGAGGGUGAUCAGCCACAUUGGGACUGAGACACGGCCCAUACUCCUACGGGAGGCAGCAGUAGGGAAUCUUCGGCAAUGGACGAAAGUCUGACCGAGCAACGCCGCGUGAGUGAAGAAGGUUUUCGGAUCGUAAAACUCUGUUGGUAGAGAAGAACGUUGGUGAGAGUGGAAAGCUCAUCAAGUGACGGUAACUACCCAGAAAGGGACGGCUAACUACGUG